AACGAACGCUGGCGGCAUGCCUAACACAUGCAAGUCGAACGAGACCUUCGGGUCUAGUGGCGCACGGGUGCGUAACGCGUGGGAACCUGCCCUUAGGUUCGGAAUAACUCCCCGAAAGGGGUGCUAAUACCGGAUAAUGUCUUCGGACCAAAGAUUUAUCGCCUUUGGAUGGGCCCGCGUUGGAUUAGCUAGUUGGUAGGGUAAAAGCCUACCAAGGCGACGAUCCAUAGCUGGUCGGAGAGGAUGAUCAGCCACACUGGGACUGAGACACGGCCCAGACUCCUACGGGAGGCAGGAGGGGGGAAUAGUGGACAAUGGGGGAAAGUCUGAUCCAGCAAUGCCGCGUGAGUGAUGAAGGCCUUAGGGUUGUAAAGCUCUUUUACCCGGGAUGAUAAUGACAGUACCGGGAGAAUAAGCUCCGGCUAACUCCGUG
rnacentral:rRNA from 1 species